CUAAAGUACAGGCUGGUCAAUGACAAUGUAAAAGCGAUGAAAGAGACAGGGACCAGAGAGGACAAGCACUUUAACAUUAGAAGAGAUCUCGCGUAGGCGGUCAAAGAGCGUAAACCGUUUUCAACGAGGCGGCGCCUCGCGUCUCGUUCUAAACUUGGCCACGCGCGUACGUAGAUGCAGUAUACGCGUAUUCUGCUCCCCAGCGCCUCUAGUUGAGCUAACGUCGCACGGAGCGACCGGAACGUGCUCUCCCGGGAAUUCGCCGGACUAAGGGAUUGACAAUCUCGAGCAGUCCCGCGUGCUCAGUACGUGUCCAGUUGAGAUUCUAUAAACAGCAAGGCAACUGUCUCUAACUGGAACGCUUUACAUAAUUUUAUGGUAGAUCUACUACGGCGCUCCUGGCAUUCGGUAGGAUUUAAUAGCGACGUCCCGGACAGUUGGAUGUGCAGACAUGCAUGCGAUACUAGAAGACGAGCGGGGUGGGGAUGAGGAAACAGCUGACGUCCACAGAGCUCAAGAUUUACUCUCUUAGUCGAAUAGAUAUGUAUCUCAAACUGGGUAAUGUCUAUCCAUGCUGGAUGAGUCAAUAUUGUAUUGGACGAAGACCCUGUGUGUCUCCCUUGUGAGGAGGUAUAAGCCGAUGCCGUGGAGAGAGGCUGAUGGACGAACGAGAUAGUCUGAAAGAGAUAGAGAAGUACAUUGCGUUUUGGGACACCCGGUAUUUCCGGCGCUAGCAGGCUGUUGCUAACUGGCUGCCGAGUAGGGCAUCGGCUGAAGGACAAAUCCAGGAGUUUGGCUCGGGCAGCACCGGCAGACAGACAGACACUCAGACAGGGGCCUGGCUACCCGACCGACAGAGACCGGCCGUUCGGUUAGGUUGCUGAUCGCUGUUAAAAGCUAAAGGCUAAAUAAGGGGGGCAGUCACGAGGUGGAAGGGGGGUGAAGCAAUGCCGAAGCUAUAGGAGAAGGUGCUGUGUAGAAGGAGGUGGUACGAACGAGAAUGACGGCGAUAGCUAUGGCGAUGGUGGUGGCGCUGUAGGAGGAGCUGCAGAAGAAGUCCCAAGAGGUGGGACAGGAACGAGGCCGAAGACUGAACGAACGGGCGAGCAGCCAAGAAUCUGGGCCCCGCGACGUCCUUGGGCCAGUAGUCUGUGUGGCUCAGGGCCGUCGCGGCUUGCCUGUUUUCCUCUCUGCUCCUCCACGGGUCCCUCUUUGUCCUGGGACCCUCGGGCCACGUAGAACCAGGCUCUGCUCCGGGCUCCUUGGGGGCCCCCGUGAAACCUCCUUCUACUCCCACCAAUCGCGUGGUCACUGGUGAAACCUUCUGCAUUGUACCGUCCCAAUAUUCGCCAACGUAUAUAACCAGACAGAGAAGUUUUCCUAUAUAUUAUCGACCUAACCACGAUGCCUCUAUUAUGUUCCCCUUCCUUUUUCUUUUUCGUUUUCUCCUAGACAAUUUGUUGCCUAAGGCGCUGCUCUGCUAUGAUGGAUAAAUGUUAUGCUUACUUAUAAUAAGCUAACGAUGUACUUAGGCAUCUAGUUUGCACCUUAGCCUCUAGUGAACUUUACUGUUGGAACUUCGUAAGAGAAUCCAUAACUUUGUAUGCUCUUGUCUGACUCACUACGGUUGGCUUGGUAUUCUAGGUUUUCAUGACCCACGGAAAAUGCUAUUUGAUACGUUAGAAAAGUUUGCUAUUGCAAUAUUUAUUUUUUCAACAGCCUGCUCUGUUCUUAACCUCGAAAUCUAUCUGUACGCCGGUGUAUUAUCGAUCGGAAUGUGUUUUGUACGACAGGGUGAUUAAGUGGUAUCGCCAGUCGGAUUUUGUGACGGGAGUUUUGUACGUUCGCCAAAAAAUGUUUUGACGAAAAAAGAGAAAAUUAGUAAUAAAAACAAAGACCGAUGUAGAUUUUCAAUAUUAUUUUUCCAUAGACACCUGAAAAUGCUGUAUAGAAAAGUUUAGUCUGCCGUACCCUAUUCAACCUAAACAUAUUAUAUUCCAGUACACAACCAGUCUGCGUUCUGAACUUUGAUGAAACUUGAACAAGAAAUUCUUUUACGUAAAAUUCGAGAAAUAUAAAAAUAAAUAAAAGACUUUUUAACACUUUCAAUCCUCAGAUAGAGAGACACUCUAACUUAUCACUUCCUGCUGGAUUUAUAGUCGUAAAUAGUUUCAAUGGUAUAUAUCGAGAACAUUCUCUAAAACCAGAAAGCGUUACCGUAAUCGCACAGCUGAAAUAUACUGUUAAAGGAUAUUUCUCUGAAGCGGCUACUAACUCGUGCAGGAAUUGCCUCAAACCCGAAAACGUCUUGCCUACUUCGCAGCACUUGGAAUAACAUCAGAGAACUCAAAGGAUUCCACAAUAUUACUCAGCAUUAGCAAACGGCAGUCCUGUCGCUCGUGAAGUCUUCCGCAAUCCAUCUGGAAUUCCGAUUAAUAUUAAUCCAUCGCACUCUACCGAGAAACGUGUCAGCCGGCUACGAAUAUCCAAGUUAAAAAAAUGUGCUACGUGAGGUUAGAAUACAUAUCCACCGCCUGGAUUUCUUCCUCGAGCACAACAGCCAGGUAUGUCUUCUUCGUUCGUCACACCCACGCGAAGUAGCUGCGAUUUCCCAGACUGCAUUGGGAUCCGCGUAUUCGUACGUAAAGAGGUUACAGGUUAGGACAUACAACGCCAGAGAGAUGAAAUCACCGUGAAAAUGAGGUCUUGCUGGAUUAUAUCGUAGAAUUAACUGACCGUGCGUUCAUCCAUUUCAUUUAUCUUUAUAAAAAUCCUCAACAAUCGAUCCCAGUCUAAAGAUUCGUCAUGCAUUCGCGAGCGACUAUCAGCAGAUGACGCUGCAAGCACAACUUUCAAAUUCUAACGGUUUUCAACGUAGUCUCUAACCUAACCUUUUCCCGGAAUCGUAAAGCGAACGUUGGCAAAUCGUCGAACGGAACCCCAGUGGGUAGGAGAUCGUCAAGAUUCGUGAUUUCAAUAUGGCGGCGUACUGGGUAUUCGUGAAAGGUCUUGAAAUGGUCAGUAUCCUCCCUACGUCAUCCCGUGUUCACAUACGUGUAUUAUAAUCUUCAUCUACACAUGUUACAUAGGUGGUUAAUACAUGUAGCCGUAGAUAUUGGCACGCAGAGGUGCAUCACACGGAGUUUUCAAUACGCGUAAGGAAACCUUCGCGUUUACAAACACUUGACAACAUGCAGAGUUUCUGUUGCAAGUGCAGCUUCGUACAUGAAUGCAUAUGUUCAUUAGUAUAGACGGGUGCAUCUGCAUUCUGCACCUUUGUCACGUGCGUGUGCCACACAUGGCUUAUGCAUAGGUGAAAGAACUUAUCCGUCGCACCUAACUGGAAGACGAGGAUUGAUUUCACACGUUUAAAACUCCGAAAACGAAACGAAGAAAGUCACGAAAGAGAAGGUAAAUUUCAAAAAUAGUUACACUGUUUUCUUUGGGAUGUUUGUGUAAAAAUCCUUGAGGAACGUAUAACAGAUUAUAUGAGCUACAAGACAGCGUGAAGAAUUACAAAAAUGUCAUUGAUUAUUUUUCAAUUAAAAGUUCUCACUGUAAAAUACGGUAGUUGUAUCAUUAUCAGGAUCUCAGUGUGAACGAUGCUUAAAGGUAGUGCAGUUCCUCCGCGACGGUCACUUCUAUAUUUAGAUGCGCUGAGUUUCCUCCUCCACUUUCUUUAUGCCGAACAAAGCGUUCCUUGUAGCAUACAGGGUGUCCGAGGAGUCGGAUUAAACCACGCAAACGUCCCUCGGAAUACGGAGUCUCGAAUUUUCGAAAGAUGCAUAGAAAGCGAAUGAGGAUAUGCAGGUAAGUCUUGGUUCCUGUUCGUAGAGAAAAUAUUUUCACGAAAAUUUCCAACCAUUGAAUAUCCUUCCUUUUGCAGUAUCUCAACUAAGGAUUUCCCCCAGGUCCCUACACGAACCACAAGGUGGAACCCACUUUCAUCCAGCCGUUCUGCUACCUGGACGUCCUUUGUUCCCGUGACAGGGUAGGGUCCUCGGCCAAAAUCCGACCUCUUGUACCACCCAUUAAUUAUUACAGCUCGUUGGUACCUGCUUGGAAAAGUACGGGCUCUCCCGUAUGAACGUUCGAUCUGUCGCUGAUAGGGACAAUGGACACCAUCUUAUCCAAACGCCAAGUUCGGUACCCAGGGACCAUCCUGACAAAGACGGUCUCAAUCAAUCACUAGUUUCCCAAUGUAUUUCUGAUCGAACGAGACGUGGCCAACAAACCAGUAAUUUUCAAGAGAUUACCACGUCCCGAGAAAGUCUGCCGAAGGGAGCUGGAUCGUUUUGUCAGUCAGGAUUCCUCGAGCUAACCAAUGGAUGAGGUCAGAGAAGUUACGCCAGGGUGGCUGUCAUGGGGGUCGGCGUAGAGGACGCGGUGGCUGAGAAGUAUCAGAGGGUAUGGAGAAGGUUUAGGUGCAGAGAACGAAGAAGAGGGACCCCCGUGUAUUCGGCGGGAUUUGGUGGUGUGAACAGGACUGUCUGGCAUCGAUCGAAACCCACUCCCCCCCCCCCCAAGGGUUUGGGGUUUUGGGGGGAGUGAGGGUCGGCGAGCCUACCCCAACCUCUCGACGAGCGUAUCGUAUCGACGACCUCUACUUGAACGGCGCACUCUGCUCUACAUCAUCUUCCCCUGGUGAAAUUUCUUUGCUCAAAAUUCAUCAACACCCGAGGUGUGUCUUGAGGAAGAAGCUCGAUAUUCCUAUGGUGU